CUUUAGCCCUCCCACAACACCAAGUGUACCCACAGGCUUAAAAUUCACUCAAAUAAGGUACAGCCUAUUUGAAACAGGACACAACCUGCAACAGAGGGUAAUGCAUAAAUCUAGCGUGACCAAGUAGGCCUAAAAGCAGCCACCUUUUAAAAAGCGUUACAGCCUUAUCACAUUAUAUUAUUAAUCCCAACCUUAACCCAAAACCCCUUAUUAAUACUGAAUGACCCCAUACCAUUAUGGAAGCCAUUAUGUUAAAACUAGUAACAAGAAUAUUUAUUCUCCCAUAAAUGUAAGUGUAAGCCGAAAUGGACCACCCAUCGGCACUUACCGCCAAUGAACCUAAAGUAAUAA
rnacentral:rRNA from 1 species